rnacentral:rRNA from 1 species
UACGGAGGGUGCAAGCGUUAUCCGGAUUCACUGGGUUUAAAGGGUGCGUAGGCGGAUAGGUAAGUCCGUGGUGAAAUCCUGCAGCUUAACUGCAGAACUGCCAUGGAUACUAUUUAUCUUGAAUGUCGUGGAGGUUAGCAGAAUAUGUCAUGUAGCGGUGAAAUGCUUAGAUAUGACAUAGAAUACCCAUUGCGAAGGCAGCUUACUACCCGAAUAUUGACACUGAGGCACGAAAGCGUGGGGAGCAAACAGG